rnacentral:rRNA from 1 species
UGGGGAUUUUUGCACAAUGGGGGACACCCUGAUGCAGCGACGCCGCGUGAUUUAGAAGGCCUUCGGGUUGUAAAAAUCUUUUCUAUGGGAAGAAAAUGACAGUACCAUAGGAAUAAGGACCGGCUAAUUACGUGCCAGCAGCCGCGGUAAUACGUAAGGUCCGAGCGUUGUCCGGAAUCAUUGGGCGUAAAGGGUACGUAGGCGGGUAAGCAAGUUAGAAGUGAAAUCCUAUAGCUCAACUAUAGUAAGCUUUUAAAACUGCUCAUCUUGAAGUAUGGAAGGGAAAGUGGAAUUCCUAGUGUAGCGGUGAAAUGCGCAGAUAUUAGGAGGAAUACCGGUAGCGGAGGCGACUUUCUGGCCAUAACCUGACGCUGAGGUACGAAAGCGUGGGUAGCAAACAAG